rnacentral:lncRNA from 1 species
AGUAUCAAUUGAUCACAGUAAGAACAAACGCUUAACUUGAUGCCACAAAAAAAACAUAUCAAGAAGAAAAUCUGCUAGCAACACUAUUUAUAUUAAUGGUGGAGACAAUAGCACAGUACAAGCGUGCUCAAAAUCAGAAUGACAAUCGAAGAUUUAAUGAACGAACUUGACAUUAAUCAGUACAAGAUGAACCGCAAAGGGAAAUCCAACACUAAUUGCAGAAAUACUAAAAGGAAAACUAGCAUGGUCUAAUUCUCAAUUACAAUCCAUUCUUUGACAAAUACACUAAACAGAGCAUUUAAAGCUACAUAGUGAUUAUAACACUGAAAGAAGAAGAGGUAAAGUCCAUCAACAACAUCAUAUCCCUCUCAUUUCAACUCAUACUUCAAGUUGCACAUCGAAUGACACCCAUAAAGAUCGAAAUGUACCUGGGAAAGAGAAGAAACAAAGUAGAAAUGAGUGUCAGUAGCUCAGCAACAGCAGUAGCAGAACCCAGCAACCAGGACUCCGACAAAAAAACAAACUCCAAACCAAGAAAGAAGUGUAGAAAUCCAGAAAAAACAAUUUCAAUCAAGUGGUAACUCAGUAGAAUUCAAACCAAACUUAAAACCUAAUUCAAUCCAUCUCGAACACUCAAUGAAUCAAAGAUUGCUUUGGCAGGUUGAAAAUUUCUUUACAAAAAAAUCAGAGAAGGAAAUCACUGAAACAGUAAAAUUCAGCCGUUUGGUAUUUUCCUAGAUUUUUAUCUCUUAGAAAUCUGC